rnacentral:lncRNA from 1 species
CAAUAAUCCAGUGCAGAAAAUAAGAGCUGCAGAUUGGAAUGGCUCUCAGAGUAAAAAUAACUGAUUUAUUGUUCUUUUUUUUUCACAUAUAUUACAGUGUUCUCGCAUAUUAUUGCAAUUAUUUCUCAUACAUUAUUUCCAAUAAUUCAUUAUUCAGUUCUUUAUACUUAUUAUCUCUUCAGUCAUUUACUUCAAAUACAAUAGGUUCAGUGACACGUUUGGUUAAAGUCAUUCAUUCCAAAAGACAGAUUGGAAAACAAGAUCUUAGUGCUUAUGAGGAUUUGGGACUAGUAGAUAUGGACGUUUGUGAGACUCAGAAGAGGCCAUUUCAUGUUACCAGAUGUGUUAAAAUAACAAUCUCAAAUAUGUUUAUUUAAGAAUCAAAGUUAGUUCAUUAUUUUGGGUUUGCUUUAGUAAGUAGGACUUAAAGCAAACCAGUCUGCUUAUUUUGACUGAUGUAUUCAACUUUUCUCUCUCCUUGUGAGAGAACAGAGGGUAAUCAUGCUGCAGUAAUGCCAAGCAAGGUCAACCAAAAUGCUUUCAGAGGGACUUUGCUAUGUAGAAUAUUUUGGAAUAUGAGUUUAGCCAAUAUUUACUUUCAACUUUAAAAGUGCCUGUCCUCAAUCAAAUACUUACCCAGAUAAUUAUAAAUACAGCAAAAAUAUAAAUAAUGACAAAGCCUUUCAGACUAAGCCAGAUUCUAAAACCUAAGAGACCAACAAGAAGACAGAAGUUUUCCAGCAGUUGUAUGACUUGCUUUGUUUCUAUGCAGUCUUUUUUUCCUGCCUGAAAGCAACCACAGGUAAAGAUGUUUUCCAGGAUUUCUUGAAAGUUAAGAGGAUUUAGUGUGAGCCUGAGAUGGCUAGGGAGAGCAUAAGUUGUGGGUUACCCAGAAUGGAUCAUCACUGCCAAGUAAUUCCUGCUCUGCAGUUUGGAAGCUGAUAAUGUGAGUAGUCCCGCUUGACUGAACUGCAACAAUAACUCAAAGGUAGUUUCAAAGGCUGUGAAGGCUUAGACCACACAGGUCACAGAAAGCAAAAUUGGCCACUCAAAUAUUUAAGGUAUGCUUUUUUCCCUUGGAAUAACUGUCUAUGUCAACCUAGCCUUCCCGAGAGUUUAGGACAGGAAAGAGUCCUCCAGAUGUAACUUGAAGAAGAUUCACUGUCAAACUGUGGAGAGAAUCUACGUUCAAGUAACAAAGUUUGAAGGUCCAGCAACAGUCUCAGAACAAAGAACCAACCCUGGUGUAAACUAUUUAAUUCAAGCAAUAUGAAAUAAAUCCUUCAGCACUGAUGUUUUCUCCCAGUUUCCAUGGCGAUGGGUGAUCUAGCUUAUGAUUUUUAACAAGUCUUCUGGAGACGGAGUAGCAUAAAUGAAAAUGCACAAUAACUUAUCUCUUUCAUUGAGUAAAAAUAUAUUCAAUAUUCCCUGUUCUUGAGAUGAAGUCAAGAGAUGCCACUGAUGAUAAACCAAUUCUGGCAAUGUCUGUUUCUGUAAUUUUGAAGUUGCAGCAAAGGACUAACUUUCUUUCAUGAAAGAAAUAUACAAAAAAAAUUACAUAUUAUGUUUGUCUCUGCUGAAGUCAGUGAUGUUGCCCUCAGUGGACUGAGAAAGCUUCACAGCCAUCAGAGCAGCCCUUUUUUGCCCAGAGUGUGACCAAGGGGAUCCCCUGCAACAAAUCAGAGGACAAACAUAAUGCUGUUUUAGUGUGUCUUAGCUCUCAAACAAACAAUAGCAAAGCCUAUUUGAGUUAAGAUGGAGGAUCCAUGUCCAGAUUGUGAAAGCUACCUUUAGUUGUGGAAACACUGAAAUCAUGAAGUCUCUCUGACAGUGUCACUUGUUGACUUCCAACAUACUUUUGGUACUCAGCAAUAAUACAUAAGAAAAAUAUGCUUCAUGAUUGUAAGUUGAAACAAAUGUGCAUUGUAGGUAGACUUUUGAAUCAAUCUUGAUUUCUUGUUCUUUCUUAGUAAGUGUCCAACUGUCCUUCACCUUUCUCAACCAGACAAGCUGCAAACUGUUUUUUAUCACUGCACUUGGGGUGAUACAUAUUGAUAUGCCCAAUGAUGAAUGUUUUGAUAUACUGCCGGGACCUGUUUUUUUCCUUCUAUCUGCUGAAGACUUGAAGCCAUUUGAAUUUUAACCUUUUCUCUAGUGCUGAAUACAGUGACUGUGGCAGAGAAAAAGCUAUUCAGGCUCGCUGCUGGUUGUGUACAUUUAAAAUUCCUUGCUCCAAUCUGACUAUCAAACAG